rnacentral:rRNA from 1 species
UACGAAGGGGGCUAGCGUUGCUCGGAAUCACUGGGCGUAAAGCGCACGUAGGCGGAUCUUUAAGUCAGGGGUGAAAUCCUGGAGCUCAACUCCAGAACUGCCUUUGAUACUGAGGGUCUUGAGUUCGGGAGAGGUGAGUGGAACUGCGAGUGUAGAGGUGAAAUUCGUAGAUAUUCGCAAGAACACCAGUGGCGAAGGCGGCUCACUGGCCCGAUACUGACGCUGAGGUGCGAAAGCGUGGGGAGCAAACAGG